UCCGGUUUGACACCGGCAGUCCCGUUAGAGUGCGCCGAUCCGAAGACCGGUUGGCAACUAAAGGCAGGGGUUUCGCUCGUUAAGGGACUUAACCCGACACUUCACAGCACGAGCUGACGACAGCCAUGCAGCACCUGUGCACGUUCCACCCGUGAGGGCGUGGCUCCCCUUUCAGGGAGUUAAUCCGUGCAUGUCAAACCCAGGAUAAGGUUCUUCGCGUUGCUUCGAAUUAAGCCACAUGCUCCACCGCUUGUGUGAGCCCCCGUCAAUUCCUUUGAGUUUUAGCCUUGCGACCGUACUCCCCAGGCGGUGCACUUAUUGUUUUUACUUCGGUCCCGGUGGUGUCAGCACCUUCGAGACCUAGUGCACAUCGUUUACAGCGUGGACUAC
rnacentral:misc_RNA from 1 species